GUCCCCGUCUAUCAUCUUUACGUUUUCUAUUUCUUCCCUUGAUUUUUGGCAGGAAGAAAACAACAAAAGAGAAAAAGUAGAGGAAAGACGACAGAGAUUCUAGGAGGGAAAUAGAUAAACCUGGCUAAGUUGGGUGUUCUCUAGUUACGUGAGCUGCACACAAGUUUACAUCAUUUUAUCAGGCUGAUAAGGUUCACAUAGCUCAAGCUUCUUAAUUGAAAUUGUAGUAAGUGAAAGAAAUACAAACUGAGAGGCUUUACAGAGUUCUGCUAUCAGGAUCAAACAAAAAGCAAGGGAACGAGGGACAAAGGCUUUUCAGAGUUCUGCUCAAGCUUCUAAGGAGUUGUCCCAAAUUUAAGAGGCAUUCUGAAGACUUGAAGGUGAACAGCGCUUUACGUGGUAGGAUGGUUGCUACAAAUAUCCGUUGUGCCGAGAAAACACAAUGGCCUUUCCUGACAGCUCGCCAUCAACUACAAAUAAAUGAAGGCAAAGAAGUGCAACACACCAGGUAUUUAAGAUAAUUUUUGAAAGGUCACAGUGAAAUAAAUUCAGAAUUGUUGGAGGCAGUUUAUGAAUACAUUUCUCCAUGUUAUCCGCGAGUUCAAUCAGGCUAUUUUAAUUUGUGUCUGUCUCUUCUAGAUGAAAUGGAAAUCUGGUUAAUUAACUCAUAUAUGUUGCUAUCU